rnacentral:lncRNA from 1 species
UGGAGGGGAACAUUUAAUUCUUUUUAUCUAUUAGUUUUCAGUUCUUAUCUUUGGCGUGUGGUAGAGCAAUCUAAUAGCCCGCAAGGCUCAUAACCUUGAGGUCACCGAAACUGCAGUUACUUUUCUAUCCUCAUUUUGUAGUCAUAUUCCUUUGUACAUAACAUGUUUGAUGAAAGUUAUGUUCAAAUUGUUAGAAGAAUGAUCCAUUGAUUCUUAGUAAAUAUGUUAUCAAAUUCUGUAACAUCCUAAAUCAAUGGAUUACAAGUGCCGCUGAAAGAAACAAAAGGAAAAUGACCUCUUCAACUACGAUUGACAAGAAAGGAAAGUAGCAGUGACAAAAUAUGCAACUUCAGGCAAGAUGUUGAAACUAGGAUCACGACACAACUUGGUUACCCAAAUUUCUGUUUACAAAGCUUGCUUUUCAUGUGUGUUCUUCCCACAAUAGCCAUAAUAACCUUUAAUGUAGUCAUAUCCUUAGCUAUUCUUUGUUUAGUAUUAUGACAACUUAAAAUUUAUCGUCCUUUGUGGAAAUUGGAUUGCUUGAACAAAAAAUAACUUCAAAGCUAUCUGUGUCCUGAGGUGUAGGAUGAUAAAAUUUGAAGAAGUUUAAAGAAAGAAAAAAAAACCUCGAAGUUAUUUUUUAUUUCCCUAGGACUCUUGACAAGAUAAAGGAAUUCCCCUAAUGAGAAUGGAUAGAUUGACUCAUCGAAUAAAAGAACAAAGUUCUUCUAAUUUUCUAAAUAUACAAUAGAGUUUUAACACAAUUUGCACAUGCUUAUAGUUUGGUCUAUGCUCAUUUGAUGUAGAUUUUCAAUUGAUAAGGUUGCCAAGUAAUUUUUCAAUUUCUUGCAACUUUAUGAUUAUGAUGAUAUUACUGGAAGCUUGGCUUGAACUAUUCAUAGACCUUAUAAGAAGAUAUAUAUAUAUGAAUGGUUGAACAAUCAUUUGUUCCCUCUUUAUCUUUUUGAUGUUUCACUUUGGUAAAUUUGGUGAGAUCAAUAAUAGAUUUCACUAACUCUUUUACUUUUAUUUCAAAAAAGACAUUUGUUUUAGUUUAGAUCUUUUUUUUCGAUGAGUACAAAACUAAUACUAAAUAUCAGUACCAAAACAUUUCACAAGUCUGCACCACGAAUCUACACUGCUAUGAACUUACUUAUGUUUUCAACGAGAAUAUAUAUAUAUAUAUAUAUAUUUAUUUAUUUUGCAAUAAAGUUUUCCUUAGCAUUUUACCCUUGAGAUUUUUUUCAUGGUAUAUGAUCCAUGCACUUAUGAAGAGGCAUUUUACCUCCUAGAGAGUAUGAAAAGUUUCAAACAUGACUUUCAUAAGCUAAUUUUUAAAAUAAUUAUUUUUCUUGAAAAGCAAGCUAAGUUUAGGAGGGAAAGUACUAGAAUACAUGUGUAGAGAAAAUGGUUUUGGGAAUCUGGCUGAUGGAGAAAGUGGUGGCUAUAAGAGAGGAGGAGAAAAGAGAGUAAGACGAACAGGAAAAAAGAGAACUGAAAGAGAAAAAAGAGAUAUUUUUGUGCUAAAUAUUGUAUGCUUGGAUCUCUAUUGCUUCGUAAGAAAUUUUUGUCAAUUAACCAUAUCUGAAUUUAUAUUUUCAACUGUUCAGUUCAAUUUCUCUAAAUUGAAAAUGAUAUAGUUUAACAAUAGUUUCCUAAUUAUCUCCUUUGUCUCCUACUUUAUGCUUGCCAUCUGCAGGAAGCAACCCACUUUGCUUG